UUCAAAGAAAGAACUGAAAAAAAUGAACAAGGGGCUGAGAGUAUACGGCGCCAUUUUGAGGAUGGUGAGGCUUUUGCCGGCGGACACGAGGCCGUACUACGCCAAGUACGCUCGCGAAAACUUCGUCAACUACAGGGAAGUCAACGAACACGACGAUGUAUCCGUCGAAGAGCUCUUUCAUCGAGCCUACAAUCACUCAAUCUGGGUCCUCAAGAAGUAUUCGGUUGACGAAUCUGCGGCGAAGAAGAUGAAAGAGAUUUGCUUUGGAUGAUGGGUCUGUUUCAAGGUGCAUGAACACCAUGUGUUCGACGUUUUGUCCCUAAGAAUAUUGAACAAAAUUUAGAGGUCUAAGGCAUCAUUGGAUGGAAGCGGAUUGCUGGUGGCAUGGAUAGCGACGGGAAGAUUAGUCUCAGACUCGGGGGCAUUCGAUCUUUGUUCCCGGGUGAAUGAAGGACAUGAUGAUGAUGAAAUGAGGGGAUAGUUUAUGAUAAAUUCUCAGACAAACCAAGAAUGGAGGCGUCGGAUACACCAUCACCAAUAGAACCGAUAGACUCGGAUACACCAAAGAAGAUGUCAAAGAAGACUCACCAAAUUUUAUUCAAUCCAAGUCUGAUGUUUUUGGUCUACAUACUCGAAUUUAAAUAGCAAAGAGGAGAAGAAAUAAACAAGGAAAAGGGUUGAAUCAAGCAGCCAUGUGUAAGCUCACAAACUUGGCAACUUAUGACACCUAGACAACGACUGCAAUAUGCAAGGAAAGAAGUUGAUUUUCCCCUUGAUGAUGUAGGCAACGGCUAGCAUGGGAUUUGGCAAGAAAUUUGCUGAUUUUCCUUGUCAUUUCCUUUCCUUUUUCGGCUGCAUAGGUGGCUCCCCACUUGCCUUAUUUGUUGUUAUCAUAUCCCUGGAUUUUUAUUGAUUGCAAUGAUGUGAAGAACUUGCCUAAUUUGGAUCCUUGAUCAGUUGAUUGAA